rnacentral:rRNA from 1 species
GAUGAACGCUAGCGGCAGGCCUAACACAUGCAAGUCGAGGGGUAGAGGAAGCUUGCUUCCUUGAGACCGUCGCACGGGUGCGUAACGCGUAUGCAAUCUACCUUAUACAGAGGGAUAGCCCAGAGAAAUUUGGAUUAAUACCUCAUAGUAUUAUGAAAUCGCAUGGUUUUAUAAUUAAAGUUCCAACGGUAUAAGAUGAGCAUGCGUCCCAUUAGUUAGUUGGUAAGGUAACGGCUUACCAAGACAAUGAUGGGUAGGGGUCCUGAGAGGGAGAUCCCCCACACUGGUACUGAGACACGGACCAGACUCCUACGGGAGGCAGCAGUGAGGAAUAUUGGUCAAUGGACGCAAGUCUGAACCAGCCAUGCCGCGUGCAGGAUGACGGUCCUAUGGAUUGUAAACUGCUUUUAUACAGGAAGAAACACUCCCUCGUGAGGGAACUUGACGGUACUGUAGGAAUAAGGAUCGGCUAACUCCGUGCCAGCAGCCGCGGUAACAC